rnacentral:rRNA from 1 species
GACAGAGGGUGCAAACGUUGCUCGGAAUUACUGGGCGUAAAGGGCUCGUAGGCGGCCAACUAAGUCAUACGUGAAAUCCCCAGGCUCAACCUGGGAACUGCGUCUGAUACUGGUUGGCUUGAAUCCGGGAGAGGGAUGCAGAAUUCCAGGUGUAGCGGUGAAAUGCGUAGAUAUCUGGAGGAAUACCGGUGGCGAAGGCGGCAUCCUGGACCGGCAUUGACGCUGAGGAGCGAAAGCCAGGGGAGCAAACGGG